AUUGUGAACCUCUAACAGCAAAUGCGGACCAAAAUUAAUCAAAUUUGAAAGCACGGAUGAUCACGUGUAAUGCCGACUGAUGGAGAAAGAUGUUCACUAUAGAUCAAAAAUUCAAAACAGAGGACUUUUUUAUUCAAACAAAAAUACUUGUACAUGUAUGAUAUUCUGUACAUACAACAAGAAAACAGUAAUCAAAUGGAAUGUCCAGUGAUGUUGAAAGCAAAAUUAUUUUUGUUAACAGAAAACAAUAGGACUACAAUAUAUUAAGGUACACAACACAUCGUGUCAGAGAAUAAUUUUACUGGAGGAUAAAAAAUUUAAUACCUGGAAUCAACAAUUUACAAAAUGUAUACGAAAUUUAUUAAGAGAGAUAUAUUCAUGUACAGAAAGGUAACCCCACCAAAUAACUCAGGUGGUUCAAGUGAUUAUUAGCAGACAUUUUUGUUGAACUAAUGCAGGAUUAAAUAAAUGAAGCUUUAGCAGACUAUGGGCUCCAAAGUGUAGUAAAAAGAGGAUUUUUAAAUAUGACAGACUCAUAAACAUUAAAAUGUGCAUAAGUGAAAUGUUACAAUAUUUAGUAAAAAAUUCAGAUUAUUGA